UACAGAGGUCUCAAGCGUUGUUCGGAUUCAUUGGGCGUAAAGGGUGCGUAGGCGGCGCGGUAAGUCGGGUGUGAAAUCUUGGAGCUUAACUCCGAAACUGCAUUCGAUACUGCCGUGCUUGAGGACUGGAGAGGAGACUGGAAUUUACGGUGUAGCGGUGAAAUGCGUAGAUAUCGUAAGGAAGACCAGUGGCGAAGGCGGGUCUCUGGAAAGUUCCUGACACUGAGGCACGAAGGCCAGGGGAGCAAACGGG
rnacentral:rRNA from 1 species